rnacentral:rRNA from 1 species
UGAUGUUAGCGGCGGACGGGUGAGUAACACGUGGGUAACCUGCCUGUAAGACUGGGAUAACUCCGGGAAACCGGGGCUAAUACCGGAUGCUUGUUUGAACCGCAUGGUUCAAACAUAAAAGGUGGCUUCGGCUACCACUUACAGAUGGACCCGCGGCGCAUUAGCUAGUUGGUGAGGUAACGGCUCACCAAGGCAACGAUGCGUAGCCGACCUGAGAGGGUGAUCGGCCACACUGGGACUGAGACACGGCCCAGACUCCUACGGGAGGCAGCAGUAGGGAAUCUUCCGCAAUGGACGAAAGUCUGACGGAGCAACGCCGCGUGAGUGAUGAAGGUUUUCGGAUCGUAAAGCUCUGUUGUUAGGGAAGAACAAGUACCGUUCGAAUAGGGCGGUACCUUGACGGUACCUAACCAGAAAGCCACGGCUAACUACGUGCCAGCAGCCGCGGUAAUACGUAGGUGGCAAGCGUUGUCCGGAAUUAUUGGGCGUAAAGGGCUCGCAGGCGGUUCCUUAAGUCUGAUGUGAAAGCCCCCGGCUCAACCGGGGAGGGUCAUUGGAAACUGGGGAACUUGAGUGCAGAAGAAGGAGAGUGGAAUUCCACGUGUAGCGGUGAAAUGCGUAGAGAUGUGGAGGAACACCAGUGGGCGAAGGCGACUCUCUGGUCUGUAACUGACGCUGAGGAGCGAAAGCGUGGGGAGCGAACAGGAUUAGAUACCCUGGUAGUCCACGCCGUAAACGAUGAGUGCUAAGUGGUUAAGGGGGUUUCCGCCCCUUAGUGCUGCAGCUAACGCAUUAAGCACUCCGCCUGGGGGAGUACGGUCGCAAGACUGAAACUCAAAGGAAUUGACGGGGGCCCGCACAAGCGGUGGAGCAUGUGGUUUAAUUCGAAAGCAACGCGAAGAACCUUACCAGGUCUUGACAUCCUCUGACAAUCCUAGAAGAUAGGACGUCCCC